rnacentral:rRNA from 1 species
AUUGAACGCUGGCGGCAGGCCUAACACAUGCAAGUCGAACGAGUGGCGGACGGGUGAGUAAUGUCUGGGAAACUGCCUGAUGGAGGGGGCUAACUACUGGAAACGGUAGCUAAUACCGCAUACCAUCAGAUGUGCCCAGAUGGGAUUAGCUAGUUGGUGGGGUAAUGGCUCACCAAGGCGACGAUCCCUAGCUGGUCUGAGAGGAUGACCAGCCACACUGGAAAGGAGACACGGUCCAGAAUCCAACGAGAGGCAGAAGUGGGGAAGAUUGCACAAGGGGAGAAAGCCUGAUGCAGCCAUGCCGAGUGUAGGAAGAAGGCCUUCGGGUUGUAAAGUACUUUCAGCGGGGAGGCGUUACCCGCAGAAGAAGCACCGGCUAACUCCGUGCCAGCAGCCGCGGUAAUUC